CAAGGCUGCUGUGACCAGCAUCAGUCCGCUGCUUAGCCGCUUUGCACGCACCCCCUGCAUCAUCCAGAAACGCUGCACAUUGAUGAGAAGAAGCCUUGAAAAUAAUCCACCAGAGCCAUCUGCUUUUUGUGUGAGCUUGACAAUUACCCCAAGGUAAAACCACUGAAGUACACCAUGGGAUCAAAGUAGGAAUAAGCUCAAAAUGCCAUGUAUAUGUUUGUUCAAAAUUUUUUUUUUGCUAUUUCAAAUUCAGUACUCUUAUUAAAUAAUUGAACACAAAUUUCAGCUACACAAUGUUCUUACAGUAUGCUUAGAAAUUUAGAUUCCACAUUACAUGUAUGGAAAUUAGCUGGAUUUGAUUUUUAUGUCCCAGACAUAAAUGUAUCACAAUACACAAAUUUAUUCUCAUAUCACUACUUUUUAACUUCACAAUAUGAUUUUUCCAGGUAAUAUUCUUUACUCUAAGGUCCACAUUUGUAGUCCAUUAUGUAAAAACUGAUUUUUUCUGGCAAUGUAAAAUUUUACUGAUGAAUUGGGAGAGAAGGUAGUCAGAUGUAUGGCUUAGUCAGUCCAAGAUUUUAAAGAAAACUGGAGUUAUAAAAGUUAUAAACAGGAACACUAAAAAGGUAGGAUUAAAAAGUUUUUGUCAAUCUGAAAUAUGUUGCUUGGCAUAUACCAUCUUGUCACUGUGUCAAAGCAGAUCUUUAUUGUCCUGAGAAACUUUAAUAAAGGGCAUAAACUUUCCUUAUAGAUCCUUCAGCAUUUUGUACAGUUUUAUAGCAUACGUUAUGUGAUAACAUCAGAUGCUUUAGUACUGUUACAUAACAGUUGAGCCAAUAGAUGAGAAACAAACUGAAUAACAGCCAGACCAUCAACACUAGGCACUAAUGAGUGCCAGCAUUAUGUGUAUGAUGGUGGCCAUAACAGUAUAUUUGCAGAAUUGUAUUUAUUUGAUGAUAUGCCACAACCAGCCAUAUACAA